GUGUAAGUUCAAGUGUUCAGCAUUAUAUGUUUUUGCACUCUCUCUCACUCACUCGUUUGUUCUAAAUCUGUCCUUUUUGCAUUGGUUUCAGUUCAAAAUCAUGAAUAAUGUGGCUGCUGUAGCUUCAUUAUAAAGACACUCUCCUUCACCUGGGUGUUUAAAUGCUGAUUCCGGCAUCUUAAACACUGUAAUACACACAGGGAGACCAAGGAGGUCUAUAAUAGCUGGAGGGAGCUGUCCUUGGCUGUUACUCAGCAGGAAAUAUGGAGAUAACUCUGCUAACUUUUUUUUAGAGUACAGGUGGGAGGUGAAGAUGUUUUUUACCUGAGCCAUAAAUGCUAUUUGACUAUUCAUCCUGGAAAUGACAGUCCUGAUGACCAGGGGCGGUUCUAGGGGGGGGGCAGUGCCCCCCUGUCAACAAGUUUGGCCCCCCUAAAUUUUGAAUCAUAUCACAACAAACAAUUUUGCGUGAAAUGCGCAGUUUGUCCGGUAAACUAUACACUGUAAAAAAAAUUACAUUUUGAAAAAUUGAGGAAACAAAUAAACAUUGACUCAACAAAUUGCCCAAAAUUACCCCCAAACAAAAAAAUACAUUGUACUAAUUUUAGCUGAAGGUCUGAAGUUAAAAUUAAAAAUAUAUAUUCACCGAACAUAUUAAAUUGUGCUCAGCCAAUCUAUCAAAAAAGAAGUGAAAAAUCUGUGUUGGCCCAACAAGCCUUACAGCAAAAAACGCGUGUACGCAUGCGCCUGAGAGAAACCGUUGGCAGAUUUAAAUUCCUGUGCGCGAGAGAGCGGAGCCGAUGCUGAGGAACGACAAACAUCAAUUCCAGACGGAUUUUCCAUCAUUAAAGUUUUGUGUAACCCACCAUUGCUAGGUCUGAACUUACGAGGCACCAUUUAGUCAAACGUCAGAAGUAUUAUAAAGGAACCACUAUGAAUUUCACAAGUCACUGGAGAACCACACAACUGCAAUGAAAAUUGGAAUAGUAAGCAGCAGCAGUUGCACUUCAAGAGCCCUGUCAAGUGUGCUAAAUGUCUCCGUUGUCCUGGAAGAGGAGGUGGUGCUUGACAACUUAGGAGACUUCUUAAAUGCAUUUAUUGUACUCUUUGGAUUAUUGUAUGCACUCAACAUGGAGUACAACAAGGAUUUACAGUAAAAGGUUAGUUCACCCAAAACUGGAAAUUGUCAUUAAUUACUUACCCUCAUGUUGUACUCAAACCCGUAAACCUUCAGUCAUCUUCAGAACACAUAUUAAGAUAUUUUUGAUAAAUCCGAGAGCUCU